GGACCCUGGGCGGCGGGGCCGGGGCCUCCGAGGCGCCGCGACGGGCGGAGCUGCGCGGGGCCAGCGGGGGCACCGCAGGCUGGGAGGGACCCCGCCACGCCGGCCCUGUCCGUGUGGACGCGCCCGCACAGAACCCGGUGUCCGGGACCCCGACUCCCGCGGAGGAGGCGGGAGAGCGCGGGGGACGCGGCGGCAGGAGCGGGAGGGGCGAGGGACCGGGAGCAGCGCGGGCCGAGGAGCUUCCUUUCCGGGGCCCCGCACCUUCCUCUGCGACAGCGGGGCGCGAGGGCGACACCGCACACGGUUUGAGGAGUAAAAAGUGGCGUUCAUCCUGAAGGGACGGGCAAGGUCCCACCGAGAUUUGAACUCGGAUCGCUGGAUUCAGAGUCCAGAGUGCUCACCAUUACACCAUGGAACCCCCGCGGGAGCCGCGCCUUCCGCGCUCGCCAGAGCGGGCGGGUGAGUCCUCCCCGGGCGCCCGCGGCUCCCGCGCACACUCCCAAGGCUUCCCUUCCCGGGACAGUGGAGCUGCGUGCGUGGCCGUCCGCCUCGCUUUCUCUCUGCGCCCCCCUCCUUUGAUUGACUUCUCCUCACUUCACUCGCACCUCGGAAAAGGAGGUGAGAUCCACUCUUGGGCUUCGGGCCCGGGAAGAGGAGCCCUUGACGCCUCCCUCCUAAGCCGCCUAUUCCGCCUCAGUUUACCAGAGUCUCCUGUCCUGAGGUGACAUUUCUGCAAACAGUAGCCUUGCUUUCCUCUUCGUUGCCUUCUCACUUUUCCCAUGGCCCAGAGAGGGCAGACGGUUGUCAGGGCGGGACUUGGGACUUCCUGGGUCCCUUGGCCGCGCAGCACCCAGCACGUCCCAAAGCCGCCACCGCCUCCUCCACGUCAUAUAUACGACGGUGUGUCCGCAGUGGAGCGGGGUGGGGAGGCGGGGGAGCUUUCCUUUUCUUCUUCAUGCACCUCUGGGGGAUUUGUUGUGGUCGUUGUAAUUCUUUCUUACAACAAACGCAUAGUUGUUACAUUCACGAUACAGAGUUAUCAACCGUGUUUAACGUUUAUAUCAAACACUCAGACCAACCAGACCAUACUCGCCUGCGGUGACUCAAAAUCAACCGCCCACCGUGGAGGCCACGAGGCAGGGCCCUGACAAUUAUACAGCCACAGACUCUCUUCUGAGAGCUUGGCCAAGUCAAUUCCAUCCCACCUUCUCAAUAUAUCACGACCCGGAAACUGCACGGAUUUAAAACAUGUACACUAUCAGGGCACCCAAGAGCGCUUCAUCGCUGGGUCGUAGGGGAUGUGGACCCAAGUUGCCUUCACAGUGUAUGCAGCUUUUAUGUACUCAAAAUACCACCACACUACAUAUUUACACGGGUAAUAGAUAUAAGUUCAUAUUAUACGCCAAAACCACAAUCUGUGUAUUUCAUCUUCCCCUUUAUUUCUUCACUGUGUCCCAAAGCCGUCUCUCCCCUGAUCCAAUAGACGGAACAGAAAAACUAGCAUCAACCGGAGCGAAAAGAAAGCGGCUGACUAAAGAACAGAGUCCGAGAGACGCCCAGCGUCGCUGGAAGAGGUAGUUUGUCCCAAGAGACUAGGUGAGGGUUGAAUGAAGGAGGAAGGAGGCAAAGGGGCUGCUCUGGUUCUGGGGAGGAAGUUGUCCUCCUCAGAGUGUGAGGGGACGCCGACGCGUCCUCCUGGAAAACCAAGACGUCGAGCGGUAACAAACACCACAGAGCACUCCUCCAGCAGGACGGGAAGAUCAGCCAAGGUCUAUGACUGCAAGGAACAGAAACGGACUCCGGCCGACUUAAGAAGGAAAGGAAUCUGUUUGAAAGGACGCUGGGAGAUCACACAGAAGGAAAGGCCGGGAAACCCGGAGAACCGAGCACCGGGCUCUGACGAGGGGCAGGGAGAGAAUCAAACGACGUUAGAACCACGACGGGCGGAGAGACUGUCCUUGAGGGGCGAAUGCACGUUGGGGCUGAGAGCCCGAGGCCAGCGGUGGGGCUGUGGCGGUCGUGGCUGGCGGCAGCUGGAGUGAGGGCGGCCGGUGAACCGAACUCGCCUGGGAAUGUGACUCCUCCCCCUCCCCUUCCCGCUCCUCCUCUGCCUCUCCGCGCUCCCUCCUUCGCCCGUUCUGUUCCUCCUCCCGUUCUACUGCUCCAGCCCUCUCUCCUCGGCUCUCCGUCUUCCUGGCUCUCUCUCCCCUCGUCCCCUUUCCCCGGCCUUCUGGUCCUCCCGCAUCUCCUUCUUCCUUCGCGAUCGCCCCUCCGCGCUGCUCCUCCCCUCGCCCGGAAUGAACGCCGCCAGAACUUCGCGAUGGGUUUCCGCAGUUGUGAGGAAGCACCACUUACAUCUGACCACCCAAGUUUGCGGAAAUGUGAUUCGGCUGGAAUCCUUCCCUGCUACUAACUCCAGGAAGAAAAAGGCGCUGGGUUCUCGGGCGGGACCACCUCGCCCCCUCGUGGCCACCUCGGGAACGGCGCACAGGGAUCCGCACAGACGCAGAAGCUGCAGGGACCGGGGAUGCGAGACAAGGAAACCUGGUCCACUCUCUGACAGAUGACCUUCUCUGCACUUGGGCACCUCACGAAGGAUCCUCUCUAUGUCAGUUCUAAGGUACCGCCAGGAAGAGACAACUCGCUCCAGGACUGGGACUUUGGACGUGGCUUACAUCAUCACACAUCACUGUCCUGCAGAGUGCUGGGCCUUGUUGGUGGGGCUUCUGCA